rnacentral:rRNA from 1 species
CUUUGGGGUGUGACUGCGUACCUUUUGUAUAAUGGGUCAGCGACUUAUAUUCUGUAGCAAGGUUAACCGUAUAGGGGAGCCGUAGGGAAACCGAGUCUUAACCGGGCGUUAAGUUGCAGGGUAUAGACCCGAAACCCGGUGAUCUAGCCAUGGGCAGGUUGAAGGUUGGGUAACACUAACUGGAGGACCGAACCGACUAAUGUUGAAAAAUUAGCGGAUGACCUGUGGCUGGGGGUGAAAGGCCAAUCAAACCGGGAGAUAGCUGGUUCUCCCCGAAAGCUAUUUAGGUAGCGCCUCGUGAAUUCAUCUCCGGGGGUAGAGCACUGUUUCGGCUAGGGGGCCAUCCCGGCUUACCAACCCGAUGCAAACUGCGAAUACCGGAGAAUGUUAUCACGGGAGACACACGGCGGGUGCUAACGUCCGUCGUGAAGAGGGAAACAACCCAGACCGCCAGCUAAGGUCCCAAAGUCAUGGUUAAGUGGGAAACGAUGUGGGAAGGCCCAGACAGCCAGGAUGUUGGCUUAGAAGCAGCCAUCAUUUAAAGAAAGCGUAAUAGCUCACUGGUCGAGUCGGCCUGCGCGGAAGAUGUAACGGGGCUAAACCAUGCACCGAAGCUGCGGCAGCGACACUGUGUGUUGUUGGGUAGGGGAGCGUUCUGUAAGCCUGUGAAGGUGGCCUGUGAGGGUUGCUGGAGGUAUCAGAAGUGCGAAUGCUGACAUAAGUAACGAUAAAGCGGGUGAAAAGCCCGCUCGCCGGAAGACCAAGGGUUCCUGUCCAACGUUAAUCGGGGCAGGGUGAGUCGACCCCUAAGGCGAGGCCGAAAGGCGUAGUCGAUGGGAAACAGGUUAAUAUUCCUGUACUUGGUGUUACUGCGAAGGGGGGACGGAGAAGGCUAUGUUGGCCGGGCGACGGUUGUCCCGGUUUAAGCGUGUAGGUGUGUGUUCCAGGUAAAUCCGGUUCACUUUAACACUGAGGCGUGAUGACGAGGCACUACGGUGCUGAAGCAACAAAUGCCCUGCUUCCAGGAAAAGCCUCUAAGCAUCAGGUAACAUCAAAUCGUACCCCAAACCGACACAGGUGGUCAGGUAGAGAAUACCAAGGCGCUUGAGAGAACUCGGGUGAAGGAACUAGGCAAAAUGGUGCCGUAACUUCGGGAGAAGGCACGCUGACACGUAGGUGAAGUGAUUUACUCAUGGAGCUGAAGUCAGUCGAAGAUACCAGCUGGCUGCAACUGUUUAUUAAAAACACAGCACUGUGCAAACACGAAAGUGGACGUAUACGGUGUGACGCCUGCCCGGUGCCGGAAGGUUAAUUGAUGGGGUCAGCGCAAGCGAAGCUCCUGAUCGAAGCCCCGGUAAACGGCGGCCGUAACUAUAACGGUCCUAAGGUAGCGAAAUUCCUUGUCGGGUAAGUUCCGACCUGCACGAAUGGCGUAAUGAUGGCCAGGCUGUCUCCACCCGAGACUCAGUGAAAUUGAACUCGCUGUGAAGAUGCAGUGUACCCGCGGCAAGACGGAAAGACCCCGUGAACCUUUACUAUAGCUUGACACUGAACAUUGAGCCUUGAUGUGUAG